UACAGAGGUCUCAAGCGUUGUUCGGAUUCAUUGGGCGUAAAGGGUGCGUAGGUGGCGGUGUAAGUCUAACGUGAAAUCUCGGGGCUCAACCUCGAAAUUGCGUCGGAUACUGCAUUGCUAGAGGAUUGUAGAGGAGAGUGGAAUUCAUGGUGUAGCAGUGAAAUGCGUAGAUAUCAUGAGGAAGACCAGUUGCGAAGGCGACUCUCUGGGCAACUCCUGACACUGAGGCACGAAGGCUAGGGGAGCAAACGGG
rnacentral:rRNA from 1 species